UACGAAGGGGGCUAGCGUUGCUCGGAAUUACUGGGCGUAAAGGGCGCGUAGGCGGAUAGUUUAGUCAGAGGUGAAAGCCCAGGGCUCAACCUUGGAAUUGCCUUUGAUACUGGCUAUCUUGAGUUCGGGAGAGGUGAGUGGAAUGCCGAGUGUAGAGGUGAAAUUCGUAGAUAUUCGGCGGAACACCAGUGGCGAAGGCGACUCGCUGGACAAGUAUUGACGCUGAGGUGCGAAAGCGUGGGGAGCAAACAGG
rnacentral:rRNA from 1 species